UCUGAAUCUGCGAACGGCUCCGCAAACCAGUUGUAAACCAUAGCAAGCAUGCUCCGGGGUUGGUCGAAAGGCCGGUCCUGGGGCUAUAAGGAUAACCCUGGUAAUUCUGAGGCUAAUACAUGAACGUACCCCCUGGCUGAAGGGCAACCGGAUGCUGGGGACCGUGCGAGUAGGGCGCAAAGUUUAUUGGGAAUAGUCGCACAGUACGACCGCCAUACCAAACAGUAUCCGCUACGUCUCCUCACGGGGGCCGGUGGUGUCUGGGCGGCUCUUGCAAGGUGCUUCUGACCUAUCAACUAGAUGGCAGCGUAAAGGACAUGCUAUGGU
rnacentral:rRNA from 1 species